UACGGGGGGAGCAAGCGUUGUUCGGAUUUACUGGGCGUAAAGGGCGCGUAGGCGGCCACCGCAAGUCGACUGUGAAAUCUCCGGGCUUAACCCGGAAAGGUCAGCCGAUACUGCGGGGCUAGAGUGCAGAAGGGGCAACUGGAAUUCUCGGUGUAGCGGUGAAAUGCGUAGAUAUCGAGAGGAACACCUGCGGCGAAGGCGGGUUGCUGGGCUGACACUGACGCUGAUGUGCGAAAGCUAGGGGAGCAAACAGG
rnacentral:rRNA from 1 species